rnacentral:lncRNA from 1 species
AUGUAUUGCAAAAUAAUUCUCUCCUUUCUCCCAAGUUUUGCAUUUCAAGAACCCCUCAAGUAUUUGAGAAAAAUUGUUCUGUUUGUUAACUACUCCCUGUGCUCACUUUUCAGUUUCCCUGACCUCAUCUUCCUGCCAGUGGAUUUACUAAUCCUUUGCCUGUGGAAUGACAGAGUCCUGCUUCCCAGAUCCCAAGAGCCUCUGAGCAGGAAAAUGAAUGAUGUAACUGGGGCAUGGAUGGGCUCAGUUCAGAUGGAGGGGACACACAGAGCCUGGGUCCUUCCAGCUGAAUCCCCUCUCUCAUGAUGGAAACUGGGAGGAAUAGAAGGAAAGAAAAAGCCAACAGUGAAAUAUCCCUUGAAAUAUUCUCCCAGCUGACAGCAAUUGCUGCCUCAGGGAUUUCUCAGCUCAGAGAUUAUAUAAAUGUUUCCAACAGCCCUUGAUGGACUUACCUGUCACUGAGGCCCUCAGUUGCUGUUCUAACCCCUACAGACUUCUGGCAGGUGCAAUAUCUCAUGGUGAUGAGCUCCACCACUCAAAAAUGUACCUCAUUUUGUUCAUUUUGAUAAUUGGGUUUGAUGUCGUUUUAUGAGAAACAGAGAACAGUCAUCCACUAUUCAUCUUGUCCCCAGCACUCCUGGUUUUAUAGAGCUCCAUUGUGUUCUUCCUCAGUCAUCUCUGUGUUCCAGGAAAGCGCCCCUUGAUUUAAUUAUCCUUUAGAUGGAAACUAUCCUGUAUCCAUUCUAGGUCCCUUCUGUCUUUCUAGAGCUGGACUAAUCAAAAGCAAACAGUAGUCAAAUUAAAAGUGCAUCAUCAACGUAUUCAGAGCUGCAAAGGUAUUUUCAAAGUCAUUCUCCAUCUCUUCCAUUCUCUGUCCCCAAAUUCCCUGAUGUAUUUUUCACCUCUGACUGCUAUCAAAUACUGAUCCAGUGUUUUCAUGUUGUAUCUCCUUUUGGUUUUUCCUUCUGCCUUUCCCUUUCGCCCUUCCCUGUCCUGUCUCAGAUAUGUAUCACAUACAUAUACUUAUAUAUAUUUAUAAAUAUAUAUUUAUAUAUUUAAAUUUUUAUAUAAAAAU